UUCUUAAAUAGAAGCUGGAAUGAAGGAGAAACGACUCUUUCUCUUUUCCGGCGCCACAAUUGAAAUUGAUAUCUGCCUCAAAAAGUGCAGCUUUUUGGGGGGACGACAAGACCCUAUAAAACUUCACUAAAACACCAAAUUUAAAAUUUAGAAAUUUUUAACUUGGGGCUAAGUUACGCUGGGGCGGCACCCAAACUUUAAAAACUUUGACAACACUAACAAUCAUUCAUGACUCUACAGAUCUCCGACAAAGACAUAGAACAAGUUACUUUAGGGAUAACAGCACAAUUUUUUCCGAUAGCUCGCAUAGAAGAAAUAGACUUGUGACCUCGAUGUUGAAUUGAAGGGCCAAAUUUAAGCAAAAAUAAAUUUUGGGGGUCUGUUCGACCUUUA
rnacentral:rRNA from 1 species